UCCGGUUUAUCACCGGCAGUCUCCACAGAGUUCUCGACUCUACUCGUUAGCAACUGUGGACAAGGGUUGCGCUCGUUGCGGGACUUAACCCAACAUCUCACGACACGAGCUGACGACAGCCAUGCAGCACCUGUGUUACGGUUCCCUUUCGGGCACUCUCCCAUCUCUGGGAGAUUCCGUACAAGUCAAGGGUAGGUAAGGUUUUUCGCGUUGCAUCGAAUUAAUCCACAUAAUCCACCGCUUGUGCGGGUCCCCGUCAAUUCCUUUGAGUUUUAAUCUCGCGACCGUACUCCCCAGGCGGUCAACUUCACGCGUUAGCUUCGUUACCAAGGAAUUACUUCCCCGACAACUAGUUGACAUCGUUUACGGCAUGGACUAC
rnacentral:misc_RNA from 1 species